AUCGAUCCUUGCGUAUAUUGCUCAAUAAUCGUCGUGUGGAUGCUGAUAUUAAAUCGCUAAUCGCAUGCUGAUAUCAAAUCAUGUAACAGAAUAAAAACCAAAUUCCUUGAAAUAUAAUCAUCCAAUUUCUUUAACUAGGAUUUGAAUCCGGAACCAGUAACCAACAAAUACUGGAGGGAUGACUGUCUGAUAUACAAACAUUCUUCGGGAACUUCGCAGAGGCUACAGACUGAAAACUAUCCCUGAUGAUACUUCAUAAAGAAGAAUCUUCUGCGAUAUCAGGAGAAGAUUGCUCAAGUCAUAGCAGUGCUUAAAUCGUAUUUGCUGGGAAAAGGUCAAUAUUUUUAAAAAGCGCCAAAAGCAGUGCUUCUGAUGAGUGUGAUGUGGUAUUCAUUCAGUCACACCGCCUUCAACGAAAAACGUCCGCUUUCUAUUCACGCAGCUAAAAAAAACGUUCGACCAUUGAUUUUCAAAAAGGGAAAAGGAAGAAUGAAAGAAAAGAAAAAAAAUGUAUUAUCUUCAGAAAUCAGUUCUGAUAGCAGGUAUUGUGUAGUAAAAAGGUCCUAUGAUUAAACUUUCUGUCUUGUGA